GGUAAGGGUGAAAGGGUGCGGUAAGAGCGCACCGCGCGGCUGGUAACAGUCCGUGGCACGGUAAACUCCACCCGGAGCAAGGCCAAAUAGGGGUUCACAAGGUACGGCCCGUACUGAACCCGGGUAGGCUGCUUGAGCCAGUGAGUGAUUGCUGGCCUAGAUGAAUGACUGUCCACGACAGAACCCGGCUUAUCGGUCAGCUUCACUC
rnacentral:RNase_P_RNA from 1 species